rnacentral:rRNA from 1 species
UACGUAGGCAGCAAGCGUUGUUCGGAAUUACUGGGCGUAAAGAGUGUGUAGGCGGUGCUCCAAGUCUGGUGUGAAAUCUCCCGGCUUAACUGGGAGGGUGCAUUAGAAACUAGAAUGCUAGAGGAUGGGAGAGGUAAGCGGAAUUCCUGGUGUAGCGGUGAAAUGCGUAGAUAUCAGGAGGAACACCUGUGGUGUAGACAGCUUACUGGACCAUUUCUGACGCUGAGACACGAAAGCGUGGGUAGCAAACAGG